UACGUAGGGCGCAAGCGUUGUCCGGAAUUAUUGGGCGUAAAGAGCUCGUAGGCGGCUUGUCGCGUCGAUUGUGAAAGCCCGGGGCUUAACCUCGGGUCUGCAGUCGAUACGGGCUGGCUAGAGUGUGGUAGGGGAGAUCGGAAUUCCUGGUGUAGCGGUGAAAUGCGCAGAUAUCAGGAGGAACACCGAUGGCGAAGGCAGGUCUCUGGGCCGAUACUGACGCUGAGGAGCGAAAGCGUGGGGAGCGAACAGG
rnacentral:rRNA from 1 species